GGUCGUGUGGCCUAAUGGAUAAGGCACUGGACUUCUAAUCCAGGGAUUGCGGGUUCGAGUUCCGCCAUGAUCA
rfam:Daphnia magna strain Xinb3 scaffold02452, whole genome shotgun sequence.